rnacentral:rRNA from 1 species
UACGGAGGGUGCAAGCGUUAUCCGGAUUCACUGGGUUUAAAGGGUGCGUAGGUGGGCAGGUAAGUCAGUGGUGAAAUCUCCGGGCUUAACCCGGAAACUGCCAUUGAUACUAUUUGUCUUGAAUAUCGUGGAGGUGAGCGGAAUAUGUCAUGUAGCGGUGAAAUGCUUAGAUAUGACAUAGAACACCCAUUGCGAAGGCAGCUCACUACACGAAGAUUGACGCUGAGGCACGAAAGCGUGGGGAGCAAACAGG